UACGAAGGGGGCUAGCGUUGCUCGGAAUCACUGGGCGUAAAGCGCACGUAGGCGGAUCGUUAAGUCGGGGGUGAAAUCCUGGAGCUCAACUCCAGAACUGCCUUCGAUACUGGCGAUCUUGAGUCCGGGAGAGGUGAGUGGAACUGCGAGUGUAGAGGUGAAAUUCGUAGAUAUUCGCAAGAACACCAGUGGCGAAGGCGGCUCACUGGCCCGGUACUGACGCUGAGGUGCGAAAGCGUGGGGAGCAAACAGG
rnacentral:rRNA from 1 species